AGGGUGUAUCUUAGCACACGGUGUCCAUUUAGUUUGAAAGCUCCGUGAUAUUUCCUAAGGGCGUACUAGUGAAAAAUUAAAAUUUGAUCACAAAGUACCUUUAAGCUUGAAUUCUCUUCCUUUCCUCUGUAAAUUGUCUGCUAAUGUUAAACUAGUCUCUUUAAAAAGACUGUUUUACUUUGCUUCAAAUUGGUGUACUCAUGAUAGCUGAUCAAGGCAGCUCCGUGAGCAGAGUGCAGAGUGUGGUGUUACCUCCUGCCACUGAAACUGAAAAUUUUUAUGCCUGCCUAAUUUGGCACUUUAUAGUUAAGUGUCGGGUUGUUCUUGUAUAAACUUCUUGGCAUUGUCAGAAAGGAUAAAGAACAAGCUAAUUUGCAAUUCAGAAUAAGCAAAUGUAUGCUUAUCAAAGUAGUUUUUAAUCGGGUGACCCCGGAGUAGGCGAGC